rnacentral:rRNA from 1 species
UACGUUCCCGGGCCUUGUACACACCGCCCGUCACACCACGAAAGGCGAGGUAACACCCGAAGCCGGUGGCCUAACCGCAAGGGAGGGAGCCGUCGAAGGUAGGGACCGUGAUUGGGGUG